UUAUAAUACUAGUCAAUUUGUGUUCAAUCUUGUUUUCUUAAAAUUAUUAUCACCAUCUUUACAAAAUUUUUAAUUCAGUUGACAUUUCAUUUUGAGGUUUGAAUCUCUUUAUAAUUGUGGGAGUAAUAUUAAAACAAAAAACUAUAUUAUCACUAUCAAGUUUAUUUUCGAAAUAGUUUAACCCUUACUUUUUGUCAAAAGAAAAAGGAAAAAUGGUUGUCCAAAAAGUAAUUGUUGUUAAAAUGGUUUUCUUUAUAGAAGUACAAGAGUAACCUUUAUUUUAUUUUCAUUUUUUUUUUUUGACAAAAGAAAAAGGAAGAAUGGCUCCAGUGCUUCAAUUGAAAGCUCUCAAUAUAAAGUCCAGACUGAACUGUUUAUGUACGUGGGCUUAAAUGGGCCUAUAUGCAAGGCCUAAAAGCCUGACAGUCCAUUAGGUCCGUCAAGUAACAUAUUCCUUGUGCUGUUCAUACAAAUCAGACCCGAACCGAUGCUACACCGCUUGAUUUUGUAGAGGAAAUGGCUAGUGGAGCUUUGCUAUAAAUGGGCCACCAUCCAUUGUAGACUGCAGACUUGCGCACAUUUUGAAAGGAAUGGAAAUCUAUUGCUUGUUCGUUUUCUCAAAAAUAAUUAUAUAGUAUUAUUUCGUUCCAAUCUUCAUACUCUUCUUGUACAAAAUUACUCAGAAUACUUCCACAUAGAUCCACGACAUAUUAUCAGCACGAGUUUGCUCUGGAUAUGAAUUUUUUAAAGGGGAUUGCAUGAUGAAGAGAUAUUUUUAGCUGAAAGUGCAACUACACGCACUAUUCUUUGUAAUAAGAAAUACUUUAUGAAUUUAACAUUAAUUGAAUCUAAAGUGAAUGCUAUUCUCAGGUCCUAUAGAUCUGAUUGAAGGAUUUGGAAGAGCCAUGUUCAUAUUAACGAAUCGAUUAAUACUAUAAGUAUACAUUUAAUAAAGGUUAAAAUUAUCAUUUUUCACUAACAGUGUUGAUAAUACUAACAAUUUAAUCACAUUUCCGAAUCUGUAACCCAUUUUAUGAAUUGUCUAUUUUUAUUUGUUGUUAAGUAUGAUUUUGUGUAUUGUAGGUAAAUCCUUAAAUUCCCGAUGCUUGGAUCGGAGAAACAAAUGUUUUAGAUUCUGAAGACUCAUAAGCUUUUAGAAGAAUUACUAACCCUUCGAUCAAACAUUAAUUUUGAAAGAUGAGAUUGUUUAUUGUGUCUGAACUCACAUAUGCUUCAUUGCACUAAAUUUAACACUUAUCAAUGUAGUAGUUUAACCAACUUGACAAAAGAUGCAAUGAAGGGUCUUGAUUUGACUUCAUUUAUAGUCAUUGAUUAGGUUGAAAUAAUGUUCCAUAAUGGUUACAAUUUUAGACCCUUGAUUACAUUAGUAAAACUCAUCUAAAGGUUGUAGUUGCAAUCUCACAAAAAAUAUCAUGUAGAUGUCUACAUUUGAUCAACUCAGAGUUUGCCUAGAGAUCUCACAAAUGAGUGGUGGAUUUUAGAGGUUUGCAGAGAAAAUUGGUGUAAAUCUAUAGUGAAUUUUUGGGAAAAGUGUAGUUAAUAAGAGAUUUGUUUCUUUCUUCUCUUUUCUUUUCAAUUUUCUUAUAUUAUACUUUUACAAAUUCAUUAAAUGAAAUGAGUGUUUUGUUUACCAAUAUGAGUGAUUGAUUUUCUAAGUUAAGGUGAAAGGUGAAGCUCAAUA
rnacentral:lncRNA from 1 species